rnacentral:tRNA from 1 species
CCCCCCAUAGCUCAAUUGGUAGAGCAACUGGCUCUUAACCAGGUGGUUCUAGGUUCGAGUCCUAGUGGGGGGACAA